GUCCACGCCGUAAACGAUGAGUGCUAGGUGUUGCGGGUAUUGACCCCUGCAGUGCCAAAGCUAACGCGUUAAGCACUCCGCCUGGGGAGUACGGUCGCAAGAUUAAAACUCAAACGGAAUUGACGGGGGCGCGCACAAGCAGUGGAGCAUGUGGUUUAAUUCGACGCAACGCGCAGAACCUUACCUGGGUUUGAACUGCAGCGGACAGACGCAGAAAUGCGUUCUCCCUUCGGGGUCGCUGUGGAGGUGCUGCAUGGCUGUCGU
rnacentral:rRNA from 1 species